AGCGAACGCUGGCGGCAGGCUUAACACAUGCAAGUCGAGCGGGCAUCUUCGGAUGUCAGCGGCAGACGGGUGAGUAACCCGUGGGAACGUACCCUUCGGUUCGGAACAACUCUGGGAAACUGGAGCUAAUACCGGAUACGCCCUUAUGGGGAAAGGUUUACUGCCGAAGGAUCGGCCCGCGUCUGAUUAGCUAGUUGGUGGGGUAACGGCCUACCAAGGCGACGAUCAGUAGCUGGUCUGAGAGGAUGAUCAGCCACACUGGGACUGAGACACGGCCCAGACUCCUACGGGAGGCAGCAGUGGGGAAUAUUGGACAAUGGGCGCAAGCCUGAUCCAGCCAUGCCGCGUGAGUGAUGAAGGCCUUAGGGUUGUAAAGCUCUUUUGUCCGGGACGAUAAUGACGGUACCGGAAGAAUAAGCCCCGGCUAACUUCGCG
rnacentral:rRNA from 1 species